rnacentral:rRNA from 1 species
AGAGUUUGAUCCUGGCUCAGAACGACUUCUGGUAGCGUGGAUUAGGCAUGCAUGUCGAACGGGAUCCGAGGGGUAGCAAUAUUCCUUGGUGAGAGUGGCGGAUUGGGGAGGAACACGUGAGCAACCUGCCUUUGAGUUGGGGAAAACCGUUGGAAACGACGGCUAAUACCGGAUGUGGCGCCGGGUGACAUCACCGGAGCGCUAAAGGGGGCCGCAAGGCUCUCGCUCGUAGAGGGGCUCGCGCAUCAUCAGCUAGUUGGCGGGGUAACGGCCCACCAAGGCUUACGAUUAGCUGGUCUGAGAGGAUGACCAGCCCCACUGGGACUGAGAUACUGCCCAGACUCCUACGGGAGGCUGCAGUCGAGGAUCAUUUGCAAUGGGCGAAAGCCUGACAAUGCGACGCUGCGUGGAGGAUGAAGGCCUUCGGGUUGUAAACUCCUGUCAUAGUGGAACAGGCGAGGAUACCUAAUACGUAUCUUAGUUGAGUGUACAUUAAGAGGAAGCGACGGCUAACUCUGUGCCAGCAGCCGCGGUAAUACAGAGGUCGCAAGCGUUGUUCGGAUUUACUGGGCGUAAAGGGCGCGUAGGCGGUCUAGUGUGUCAGAUGUGAAAUCUCCGGGCUCAACCCGGAAAGUGCGUCUGAAACUGCUGGACUUGAGUCCGGGAGAGGGAAUCGGAAUACAGGGUGUAGCGGUGAAAUGCGUUGAUAUCCUGUAGAACAUCGGAGGCGAAGGCGGAUUCCUGGAACGGUACUGACGCUGAGGCGCGAAAGUCGGGGGAGCAAACAGGAUUAGAUACCCUGGUAGUCCCGACCUUAAACG